rnacentral:rRNA from 1 species
UACGUAGGGGGCAAGCGUUGUCCGGAAUCAUUGGGCGUAAAGAGUGUGUAGGCGGCCCGAUAAGUCCGCUGUGAAAGUCCAGGGCUCAACCCUGGGAUGCCGGUGGAUACUGUCGGGCUCGAGUCCGGAAGAGGAGUGUGGAAUUCCUGGUGUAGCGGUGAAAUGCGUAGAUAUCGAGAGGAGCACCUGCGGCGAAGGCGGGUUGCUGGGCUGACACUGACGCUGAGGAGCGAAAGCCAGGGAGCAAACGGG